CCCUACGGGUGGCUGCAGUGAGGAAUAUUGGUCAAUGGGCGCGAGCCUGAACCAGCCAAGUCGCGUGAGGGAUGACGGCCCUACGGGUUGUAAACCUCUUUUGCCGGGGAGCAACGGGCGCCACGUGUGGCGCCACUGAGAGUACCCGGAGAAAAAGCAUCGGCAAACCCCGUGCCGGCCGCCGCGGUAAUACGGAGGAUGAGAGCGUUAUCCGGUUUUAUUGGGUUUAAAGGGGGCGUAGGCGGAUCGUUAUGUCAGUGGUCAAAUUGAGGGGCUCAACCCCUUCCCGCCAUUGAAACUGGCGCUCUUGAGUGGAAGAGAAGUAGGCGGAAUGCGUGGUGUAGCGGUGAAAUGCAUAGAGAUCACGCAGAACCCCGAUUGCGAAGGCAGCAUGCCGGCUUCCGACUGACGCUGAAGCACGAAAGCGUGGGGAUCGAACAGGAUUAGAUACCCUAGUAGUC
rnacentral:rRNA from 1 species